rnacentral:tRNA from 1 species
GGAGAGGUGGCUCAGUGGUUAAGAGCACUGGGUGCUCCUCCAGAGGUCCUGAGUUCAAUUCCCAGCAACCACA